AUUGAACGCUGGCGGCAUGCUUUACACAUGCAAGUCGAACGGUAACGGGUUAAGCUGACGAGUGGCGAACGGGUGAGUAAUGCAUCGGAACGUGCCCGAUCGUGGGGGAUAACGCAGCGAAAGCUGCGCUAAUACCGCAUACGAUCUGAGGAUGAAAGCGGGGGACCGUAAGGCCUCGCGCGAUCGGAGCGGCCGAUGUCAGAUCAGGUAGUUGGUGGGGUAAAGGCCCACCAAGCCGACGAUCUGUAGCUGGUCUGAGAGGACGACCAGCCAAACUGGGACUGAGACGCGGCCCAGACUCCGACGGGAGGCAGCAGUGGGGAAUUUUGGACAAUGGGCGAAAGACUGAUCCAGCAAUGCCGCGUGCAGGAAGAAGGCCUUCGGGUUGUAAACUGCUUUUGUACGGAGCGAAAAGAUCCUUUCUAAUACAAGGGGCUCAUGACGGUACCGUAAGAAUAAGCACCGGCUAACUACGUGCCAGCCGCCGCCGUAA
rnacentral:rRNA from 1 species